UACGUAGGGGGCAAGCGUUAUCCGGAUUUACUGGGUGUAAAGGGAGCGUAGACGGUAAUGUAAGUCUGAUGUGAAAGCCCGGGGCUCAACCCCGGGACUGCAUUGGAAACUAUGUAACUAGAGUACCGGAGAGGUAAGCGGAAUUCCUAGUGUAGCGGUGAAAUGCGUAGAUAUUAGGAGGAACACCAGUGGCAAAGGCGGCUUACUGGACGGAAACUGACGUUGAGGCUCGAAAGCGUGGGGAGCAAACAGG
rnacentral:rRNA from 1 species